UACGAAGGGGGCUAGCGUUGCUCGGAAUCACUGGGCGUAAAGGGUGCGUAGGCGGGUCUUUAAGUCAGGGGUGAAAUCCUGGAGCUCAACUCCAGAACUGCCUUUGAUACUGAAGAUCUUGAGUCCGGGAGAGGUGAGUGGAACUGCGAGUGUAGAGGUGAAAUUCGUAGAUAUUCGGAAGAACACCAGUGGCGAAGGCGGCUCACUGGUCCGGUACUGACGCUGAGGUGCGAAAGCGUGGGGAGCAAACAGG
rnacentral:rRNA from 1 species